rnacentral:ncRNA from 2 species
CGAUCUGCUCCGGGGUGCGCAGCACGCUGAGACGGGCCCAGGCCUGAACCCGAGAACUUGAUCCGGUUAGGACCGGCGAAAGAAGAGCGAUCCGUCGCCCC